UCCGGAGUAGCUCAACGGUAGAGCAAGGCGCUGUUAACGCCGAGGUUGCUGGUUCGAAUCCAGUCUCCGGAGCCA
rnacentral:tRNA from 1 species